UACGUAGGGGGCUAGCGUUGUUCGGAAUUACUGGGCGUAAAGAGCGCGCAGGCGGUCGAUCAAGUCGCGUGUGAAAGCCCCCGGCUCAACUGGGGAGGGUCACGCGAUACUGAUCGACUCGAAGGCAGGAGAGGGUAGUGGAAUUCCCGGUGUAGUGGUGAAAUGCGUAGAUAUCGGGAGGAACACCAGUGGCGAAGGCGACUACCUGGCCUGUUCUUGACGCUGAGGCGCGAAAGCUAGGGGAGCAAACGGG
rnacentral:rRNA from 1 species